AAUGUUGGGAGCUAUUUCUCAGCUUCCUGUAGUUUAAGAAAUACAUUUUGAUUAUAGACACUUGAUGGGCUUCAGAAUGUAUUGCAGAUUGUCUUAUAUCAGAAACAUCUUGGCCACACAUGUAUGUGAACCAGAACUAAUGUUUUUCUCUUAUUUUUAGCAAAUGGCUAGAUGGCUUAACAGAUUUUUCUGUUACGGCAGAAGUAUCUCCAUACUAACCCCCUUCUCACCCAUAUUUUCUUGCCUUUCAGUUUAUCUUGAAAUAUAUCAGGAACAAAUAAUUGGAAAAUCUGCAUUUGACAUCACACCUCUUCUUAGAGCACCUCUCCUUAUCUUCCGUGAAAAGUUACAAGUUACUUUAGUCAGUUCCUAACAGUAUAUUUCUGGUGAUGUUCAUGUGAUUUAGGGCAUCUUGUUUCUUAGGAAUUAAAAAAGCCCUAAGGCAUUGAAUUAGUGUGCAGUAGUAUAAAAAUAAUUUUGUGAAGUUUAUCAUUUUUUAAGAUAAGAGAGA
rnacentral:lncRNA from 1 species